rnacentral:rRNA from 1 species
ACCAAAUUAGAGUGCUCAAAGCAGGCUAAGACAAAGCGUCGGCCCCCCCUGGGUUGCGUUGGCCGAGAAUAAUCUUGCAUGAAUAAUGGAAUAAUGACCUCGUUUAUACGAUUUCGUUGUUGUCAGAAACCUAGAGUAAUGAUUAACAGAAGUAGUUGGGGGCAUUGGUAUUACGGCGCAGAGGUGAAAUUCGUAGACCGUCGUAGGACCAACUGAAGCGAAAGCGUUUGCCAUGGAUGCUUUCUUU